AUUGAACGCUGGCGGCAGGCCUAACACAUGCAAGUCGAGCGGUAGCACAGAGAGCUUGCUCUCGGGUGACGAGCGGCGGACGGGUGAGUAAUGUCUGGGAAACUGCCUGAUGGAGGGGGAUAACUACUGGAAACGGUAGCUAAUACCGCAUAAUGUCGCAAGACCAAAGUGGGGGACCUUCGGGCCUCAUGCCAUCAGAUGUGCCCAGAUGGGAUUAGCUAGUAGGUGGGGUAACGGCUCACCUAGGCGACGAUCCCUAGCUGGUCUGAGAGGAUGACCAGCCACACUGGAACUGAGACACGGUCCAGACUCCUACGGGAGGCAGCAGUGGGGAAUAUUGCACAAUGGGCGCAAGCCUGAUGCAGCCAUGCCGCGUGUGUGAAGAAGGCCUUCGGGUUGUAAAGCACUUUCAGCGGGGAGGAAGGCGGUGAGGUUAAUAACCUCGCCGAUUGACGUUACCCGCAGAAGAAGCACCGGCUAACUCCGUGCCAGCCGCCGCGGUAACAC
rnacentral:rRNA from 1 species